UUUAUUCACUGAAUUUUUUUAAUUUUUUUUAUACGCAUUCUUGAUUCGGCUUCGAAUUUAUAUCUUUGUUAUUGCAUUUCUUCCAUUUUCGUGACUAUUUCUCGUGAAUUCGGAGCAGCUUAAUGAUUUUGUUCGCUUAUUUACUUGAUCUUCUGCGUUCUUUUCAAUGACUGAUUGCUCAUCUAGUGUUGUGUUUGAUUACGGAUCUUUUUUUGCUUGAUUUAGACUUGGGAUUUCCGGAUUACUUUGUUGUAGUCUGGAUGUAUUACCGUUGGCUUUAGUUUCGAUAUUUGAAUUUCUUAGUAUUGUGGAUAGAGUUUGCUAAUGUCAUUUCUUAUUUUAUCCGAAGAUACAUUGGUGAUGAGUUGAGAGACAUACUUAGGGUCCUACUUCUGUGAUUGUCCGAGAAUUUGUUAGGGAAGAAGAUGGUUUCUGAAAUUCUGAUGUAAUAAUUCAUCUUUUUUUUCAAUUUUUUUCAAGAGAUUACAAAACUGCGUCCACAGAUUGAGUUGUGGGAAGAAAGAAGUCCUCAACAUUUUGAAGCGAUAGAUCAUCUUGUUCCUUCUGUGAUUUGUUGAUUAUGUUUUUCAGAAAUUAUGUAUCAUGUCUUUCUCAUAAGUCGUGCUUUGAAUGCAAUUAGUGAUUGUUAGUGUUAUUCUUUUUUGUUACUUUCUUUUUAUUUUUUGCAAUGACCUUUUUCCACACCCUUUUUGAUUGCUAAGCCCCAGCAUAAUUUUAGAGGCCGAACUGGGUUUUGGACCUUUUUCCACACCCUUUUUUAGCUUUGUUUUCACAUAGAUCUAUUUGUUUUAGUUAAACUAAAGACAUUCUUUCUUGUGAAUAUUGAUUUCAAGUGCAUUUAUUAUGUGCCAUCUGAUCACAACUCUUAAAGAAUAGGAGUUUGAACAGUCUCCAAAGUGGCCAUAUUUGCUAAAUGUGAAGAGGCUUAUAAAGUUGGUCAGGGAAAUUGUUUUCCACGCAUUAGACUGUAAGGGCACUUUAUAAAAUCCUACAUGCUCCCUGUCUCUUCUCCCAAUCAUAGUUAUUGAAAAUAGUUUUAAAAACAAUAGCAGUAGCCAGUCUUUUCAAAAUAGCACCCGAACAUCACUUUUCG